rnacentral:rRNA from 1 species
CAGCCGCCGCGGGAAUACGAAGGGGGCUAGCGUUGUUCGGAUUUACUGGGCGUAAAGGGCGCGUAGGCGGACUGAUAAGUCAGGGGUGAAAUCCCAAGGCUCAACCUUGGAACUGCCUUUGAUACUGUUUGUCUUGAGUUCGAGAGAGGUAAGUGGAACUGCGAGUGUAGAGGUGAAAUUCGUAGAUAUUCGCAAGAACACCAGUGGCGAAGGCGGCUUACUGGCUCGAAACUGACGCUGAGGCGCGAAAGCGUGGGGAACAAACAGGAUUAGAUACCCGAGUAGUCCCUGUCUCUUAUAC